rnacentral:rRNA from 1 species
GUGGCGAACGGGUGAGUAACGCGUGGGUAAUCUACCCUGUAAGUGGGGGAUAACCCUCCGAAAGGAGGGCUAAUACCGCAUAACAUCUUCCCUUCAUAAGAAGGAGAGAUUAAAGAUGGCCUCUUUAUAUGCUAUCACUUCAGGAUGAGUCCGCGUCCUAUUAGUUAGUUGGUAGGGUAAUGGCCUACCAAGACCACAAUGGGUAGCCGGUCUGAGAGGAUGUACGGCCACACUGGGACUGAGAUACGGCCCAGACUCCUACGGGAGGCAGCAGUGGGGAAUAUUGCGCAAUGGGGGAAACCCUGACGCAGCGACGCCGCGUGGAUGAUGAAGGCCUCCGGGUUGUAAAGUCCUGUUCUGGGGGACGAAACCUUAAGGGUCCAAUAGGCCCUUAAGCUGACGGUACCCCAAGAGAAAGCUCCGGCUAAUUAUGUGCCAGCAGCCGCGGUAAUACAUAAGGAGCAAGCGUUGUCCGGAAUUAUUGGGCGUAAAGAGCUCGUAGGCGGUCUUAAAAGUCAGGUGUGAAAUUAUCAGGCUUAACCUGAUAAGGUCAUCUGAAACUCUAAGACUUGAGGAUAGAAGAGGAAAG